UACGUAGGGUGCGAGCGUUGUCCGGAAUUACUGGGCGUAAAGCGUGCGUAGGUGGUUGUUUAAGUCUGCUGUGAAAGCCCUGGGCUCAACCUGGGAAUUGCAGUGGAUACUGGGCGACUAGAGUGUGGUAGAGGAUAGUGGAAUUUCCGGUGUAGCAGUGAAAUGCGUAGAGAUCGGAAGGAACAUCUGUGGCGAAGGCGACUAUCUGGGCCAACACUGACACUGAGGCACGAAAGCGUGGGGAGCAAACAGG
rnacentral:rRNA from 1 species